UAACAGUAUACAUGGGUCGGAACUUAUAAAAAGGGUAGACUAGUUCGCUUGAAUUCAUUACAAGUUCUUCAGCAAUUAAAAAAAUCACUAGUACUUUUCUUCCAAGGCAGUAGCCUCCAAAUCAAUAGUAGCAAGUUAGCAACAAUGGUUUCCAGAAAGGUGCCUUCCCUUUUUCUCCUGGUCGUUUCGCUCUUCGUACUUAUUAACUUCAUCGAUGUUGCUUAUUCGCAAGACUGCCGGCGCGGAUUUCGGUUGAAUAGCGGAGAUACCUGUUGGUCUACCGCC